GGACUACGGGGGUAUCUAAUCCGGUUCGCGCCCCUAGCUUUCGUCCCUCACCGUCAGGUUCGUUCCAGUUAGCCGCCUUCGCCACAGGUGGUCCUCCCAGGAUUACAGGAUUUCACCCCUACCCUGGGAGUACCGCUAACCUCUCCCGACCUCAAGCCUAACAGUAUCCUCAGCAAUUCCCAUAGUUAAGCUACAGGAUUUCACCAAAGACUUAUUAAACCGGCUACGAACGCUUUAGGCCCAAUAAAAACAGCUACCACUAGAGCUGCCGGUGUUACCGCGGCGGCUGGCACCGGUCUUGCCCAGCUCUUAUUCCAAAAGCUCUUUACACUUAAGAAAAGCCAUCCCGUUAAGAAUGGCACUUGGGAUCCCCCCGUCGCGAUUGCUCACAUUGCGGAGGUUUCGCGCCUGCUGCCCCCCAUAGG
rnacentral:rRNA from 1 species